AACGCGCGCGGGGGGACGACGACGACGAUGAUGUCGUAUUCCUCUACGCAAAGAGAGUGAGGUUCGUGGAGGAAGAGGAGCGAGACGAUGAGGAGAGUGAGGACGAAGGGUUGGACGAGGAGAGCGAGGAAGAGGAGGAUGACGAUGAAAUACAAAUUGCAUUAGUAGCGGAAGGAAAGGAGGAAUAGGGGAACGAUAUUAAUAUUAGUUUAUGUAACUUUUAUUUUAUUAUUUUAAUACUUUUAUUACUAUUAAUAUUAGUUUAUA